rnacentral:rRNA from 1 species
GGGGAAUAUUGCACAAUGGGCGCAAGCCUGAUGCAGCGACGCCGCGUGAGGGAUGAAGGCCUUCGGGUUGUAAACCUCUUUCGUCAGGGAACAAGGCACUGUCUUUUGGUGGUGUUGAGGGUACCUGGAUAAGAAGCGCCGGCUAACUACGUGCCAGCAGCCGCGGUAAUACGUAGGGCGCAAGCGUUGUCCGGAAUUAUUGGGCGUAAAGAGCUCGUAGGCGGCUGGUCGCGCCUGUCGUGAAAACUUCCGGCUCAACCGGGGGCUUGCGGUGGGUACGGGCCGGCUAGAGUGCGGUAGGGGUAACUGGAACUCCUGGUGUAGCGGUGGAAUGCGCAGAUAUCAGGAAGAACACCGAUGGCGAAGGCAGGUUACUGGGCCGUUACUGACGCUGAGGAGCGAAAGCGUGGGGAGCGAACAGGAUUAGAUACCCUGGUAGUCCACGCCGUAAACGUUGGGCACUAGGUGUGAGGCUCCUUUCCGGGGGUUUUGCGCCGUAGCUAACGCAUUAAGUGCCCCGCCUGGGGAGUACGGCCGCAAGGCUA